rnacentral:rRNA from 1 species
AUUGAACGCUGGCGGCAGGCCUAACACAUGCAAGUCUAGCGAGCGGCGGAUGGGUGAGUAAUGUAUGGGGUCUGCCCGAUAGAGAGGGCUAACUACUGGAAACGGUAGUUAAUACCCCAUACUGUCGGCCAACCCAUAUGGGAUUAGCUAGUAGGUUAGGUAAUGGCUCACCUAGCAGACGUUCCCUCGCUGGUCGGAGAGGAUGAUCAGCCACACUGGGACGGAGACACGGCCCAGAGUCCGACGGAGGCAGCAGUGUGGAAUAUUGGACAAAGGGCGCAAGCCUGAUGCAGGCAUGCCGCGUGUAUGAAGAAGGCCCUAGGGUGGUAAAGUACUUUCAGUCGGGAGGCGUUACCGACAGAAUAAGCACGGGCUAACUCCGUGCCAGACGACGCGGUAAUAC